AGAAGCAGAGACCGGCAAUGAAGGGAGAAAAAGGGAAAGAAGAAAGGAAAAAGGAAAAGGAAAAGAAGAAAGGAAAAAGAAGAAGAAAAGAGGUGAUAUUUGUACGAAUUGGAGCUCAAGUUUGGGGAUUUCUUCAUUUUCAAUUUCAGCUAGGAGACCGUCAAUUUUGAGAUACUGGAAAAAGCCUGCUGAAGCGAAAGAGACUGUUUCA